AUGUUUUCUAACCCGUUUCAUUUUGCCUUGUGCAAGAGGAAGGAUGGUGCGGGUUGGAAUGAAUCGGACGACCACUUGCAUUACUCUUGCAACUUGGAGGAGGAAGGACCGGGUCACGUCACGUGUGGUAAUAGUCGCCUCUGUGGCUUGGUCCACUCGUCUGUCAGCACCACCCAUGGAGCUUCAUCUUCCUCCAUCCAUGUCAAUGUCGUUGUCGUUGACCUCUUUCACUCCAACACUCCCUCCGCGUGCAUACCUACAUUAUAUACGACCAGGAGAUGGAAUGGGGCGCAUCUUCGCUCACCAGGCCACACGGAACUACGUACUGUAUUAAUCAACGACCGAGAUCUGGACACCGACCGCAGGGCCGCCAUGGACUCGUCGUCGUCGCGCUGGGCCGCGCCCGCCGUGUCGGCCGGCGGCGUGCUCGCCUCGGCGGCCAUCUUCCUGCUGUGCAUGACGUUCGCCCACGCGCUCAUCUUCCUCCACCACCGCUACUUCAGCACCGGCGUCGUCGCGCCCAGCGGUCGUCGUCGGGCGCGCGCGCGGAGCGCCCGGACGGCGGCCCCGCCUGCCAAGGGCGUCGACCCGGAGCUGCUGCGGUCGCUGCAGGUCACGGUGUACCGCGCCGCGGACGACGUCGGAAUCGGAUUGGUGGACUGCGCGGUGUGCCUGGCCGGGCUCGAGGACGGGGAGGAGGCGAGGUUCCUGCCCGGGUGCGGCCACGGGUUCCACGCGGGGUGCGUCGACAGGUGGCUGGCGUCCCACACCACCUGCCCGCUCUGCCGGGUCACCGUCGUCGGCAAGCCCGACCCAGAGGCUUCGACGUCCACGAGUCUCCCUCCCGUACCUCCGGAGCCGGCGAACUACGCAGCGAACCUGCAGCUGCCGGCGAGUGUGCUGCUCGGGGUUACAGACCAGACCACGCUCGGUGCGGUGACCGCGGCCACCGAGGGAGUGCUGGUGAUCGACGUUCCGGAGUCAAUGAUGGUGGCAGCGGCCCCGCGCGACGCGUCCAAGUCUCCGGGAGUGGCCGGGCUGAGGUCGGUGAAGAGGCUGUGGAGCUUCGGGAGGCAAGGGCCGUCGGGGUCCACUACGCCCUGCGCCGGCGGCAGCGGAACGGCAGACGUAGAGCGGCGCAUUAGCAUUCGAGGAGGAGAGGCGAUUCCAGGCGGCGGAGGCGGCGGCGAGUCGCCCUCGAGCCCUUCCUCAUGCAGUCGAACAGAGUGCCAAAGAGAGAUUAGGUUUAGGUGGUCGUGGGCUAUUGGGCUCGCUCGGCUGCUCGGGGCUGCGCUCUGUCGCUCGCCGUGUCCCAGGCGUGUAUCAGCAUUCUUUUUCUUUUCUUUUAAAUAA
rnacentral:rRNA from 1 species